rnacentral:rRNA from 1 species
GUGAACCAGCGGAGGGAUCAUUACCGAGUUUACAACUCCCAAACCCCUGUGAACAUACCUUAUGUUGCCUCGGCGGAUCAGCCCGCGCCCCGUAAAAAGGGACGGCCCGCCGCAGGAACCCUAAACUCUGUUUUUAGUGGAACUUCUGAGUAUAAAAAACAAAUAAAUCAAAACUUUCAACAACGGAUCUCUUGGUUCUGGCAUCGAUGAAGAACGCAGCAAAAUGCGAUAAGUAAUGUGAAUUGCAGAAUUCAGUGAAUCAUCGAAUCUUUGAACGCACAUUGCGCCCGCCAGUAUUCUGGCGGGCAUGCCUGUUCGAGCGUCAUUUCAACCCUCAAGCCCAGCUUGGUGUUGGGAGCUGCAGUCCUGCUGCACUCCCCAAAUACAUUGGCGGUCACGUCGAGCUUCCAUAGCGUAGUAAUUUACAUAUCGUUACUGGUAAUCGUCGCGGCCACGCCGUUAAACCCCAACUUCUGAAUGUUGACCUCGGAUCAGGUAGGAAUACCCGCUGAACUUAAGCAUA